AGUGAUUAAAUGUUUCCCUCCUGUAAAAUAAAACAAAUAGACAUCAAUACAACGUAUACCACAAUAUGGACUAUACAUACGCUUGCCCAUAAUUAUGGUAGGCAACUGCCCAAAACUGUAUCUUGACAUUAGAAUUUAGAACUAGGUCCCAUGAUUGGAUACCUUAGGCAACAACAGUAUAAAGGAAGCAUGUAAAGAAGCAAUGCAAAUUCCCGAUUUUAGUUAGUUUAUCAGAGUGCCACAAGCAAUAAAAAGCCAGGGGGGAAAAAAAGGUGACCCAGUACACAAAGCAUCCCACGCCUAUGGGCGCCAGGGAGGGUUAACGAAUGCAGCCUUACCCUGCAUUGCUUUGCAGAGAGGCUGUUUAGGUGACUGAAACCCUUGACCUCCAGUUUACAAAUGGUGUAGCACCCUCUAGAGCGCCACAGGCAUCACCUAGUAUAAUUUGCACAAAAUAGAAAAGCCCUAAUCUAUCUAGAAAGUGGAAACCUGCAAACAACAGAGGAAAGUUUAUAGCAUAUAAAUACUCCAAGCACCUGGUAAUGUCAUAGACAAGCAACGCACCAGCAGCCCCUCUGUAAUAGGACCUCGUAAUAGAUCUGAAGGACUCUUGACCCGCCGUGUCCCAAAUU
rnacentral:misc_RNA from 1 species